CAGCCGCCGCGGUAACACGGAGGGAGCUAGCGCUGUUCGGAAUUACUGGGCGUAAAGCGCACGUAGGCGGCUUUGUAAGUUAGAGGUGAAAGCCCGGGGCUCAACUCCGGAACUGCCUUUAAGACUGCAUCGCUUGAAUCAUGGAGAGGCGGGUGGAAUUCCGAGUGUAGAGGUGAAAUUCGUAGAUAUUCGGAAGAACACCAGUGGCGAAGGCGGCCCGCUGGACAUGUAUUGACGCUGAGGUGCGAAAGCGUGGGGAGCAAACAGGAUUAGAUACCCCGGUAGUCCCUGUCUCUUAUAA
rnacentral:rRNA from 1 species